rnacentral:rRNA from 1 species
UGGACUUGCUCUGUGGGUCAGUGGCGACGGGUGAGUACACGUGAGCAACCUGCCCCUGACUCUGGGAUAAGCGCUGGAAACGGCGUCUAAUACUGGAUACGAGUAGCGACCGCAUGGUCAGUUACUGGAAAGAUUUAUUGGUUGGGGAUGGGCUCGCGGCCUAUCAGCUUGUUGGUGAGGUAAUGGCUCACCAAGGCGUCGACGGGUAGCCGGCCUGAGAGGGUGACCGGCCACACUGGGACUGAGACACGGCCCAGACUCCUACGGGAGGCAGCAGUGGGGAAUAUUGCACAAUGGGCGCAAGCCUGAUGCAGCAACGCCGCGUGAGGGAUGACGGCCUUCGGGUUGUAAACCUCUUUUAGCAGGGAAGAAGCGAAAGUGACGGUACCUGCAGAAAAAGCGCCGGCUAACUACGUGCCAGCAGCCGCGGUAAUACGUAGGGCGCAAGCGUUAUCCGGAUUUUUUGGGG